rnacentral:rRNA from 1 species
GUCGAACGGUAACAGGAAGCAGCUUGCUGCUUCGCUGACGAGUGGCGGACGGGUGAGUAAUGUCUGGGGAUCUGCCCGAUGGAGGGGGAUAACCACUGGAAACGGUGGCUAAUACCGCAUAACGUCGCAAGACCAAAGUGGGGGACCUUCGGGCCUCACACCAUCGGAUGAACCCAGAUGGGAUUAGCUAGUAGGUGGGGUAACGGCUCACCUAGGCGACGAUCCCUAGCUGGUCUGAGAGGAUGACCAGCCACACUGGAACUGAGACACGGUCCAGACUCCUACGGGAGGCAGCAGUGGGGAAUAUUGCACAAUGGGCGCAAGCCUGAUGCAGCCAUGCCGCGUGUAUGAAGAAGGCCUUCGGGUUGUAAAGUACUUUCAGCGGGGAGGAAGGGAUGGUGCUUAAUACGCGCCGUCAUUGACGUUACCCGCAGAAGAAGCACCGGCUAACUCCGUGCCAGCAGCCGCGGUAAUACGGAGGGUGCAAGCGUUAAUCGGAAUUACUGGGCGUAAAGCGCACGCAGGCGGUCUGUUAAGUCAGAUGUGAAAUCCCCGGGCUUAACCUGGGAACUGCAUUUGAAACUGGCAGGCUUGAGUCUCGUAGAGGGGGGUAGAAUUUCCAGGUGUAGCGGUGAAAUGCGUAGAGAUCUGGAGGAAUACCGGUGGCGAAGGCGGCCCCCUGGACGAAGACUGACGCUCAGGUGCGAAAGCGUGGGGGAGCAAACAGGAUUAGAUACCCUGGUAGUCCACGCCGUAAACGAUGUCGACUUGGAGGGCUGUUCCCUUGAGGAGUGGCUUCCGGAGCUAACGCGUUAAGUCGACCGCCUGGGGGAGUACGGCCGCAAGGUUAAAACUCAAAUGAAUUUGACGGGGGCCCGCACAAGCGGUGGAGCAUGUGGUUUAAUUCGAUGCAACGCGAAGAACCUUACCUGGUCUUGACAUCCACGGAAUUCGGCAGAGAUGCCCUAGUGCCUUCGGGAACCGUGAGACAGGUGCUGCAUGGCUGUCGUCAGCUCGUGUUGUGAAAUGUUGGGUUAAGUCCCGCAACGAGCGCAACCCUUAUCCUUUGUUGCCAGCGCGUGAUGGCGGGAACUCAAAGGAGACUGCCGGUGAUAAACCGGAGGAAGGUGGGGAUGACGUCAAGUCAUCAUGGCCCUUACGACCAGGGCUACACACGUGCUACAAUGGCGCAUACAAAGAGAAGCGACCUCGCGAGAGCAAGCGGACCUCAUAAAGUGCGUCGUAGUCCGGAUUGGAGUCUGCAACUCGACUCCAUGAAGUCGGAAUCGCUAGUAAUCGUGGAUCAGAAUGCCACGGUGAAUACGUUCCCGGGCCUUGUACACACCGCCCGUCACACCAUGGGAGUGGGUUGCAAAAGAAGUAGGUAGCUUAACCUUCGGGAGGGCGCUUACCACUUUGUGAUUCAUGA